rnacentral:rRNA from 1 species
GACGAACGCUGGCGGCGUGCUUAACACAUGCAAGUCGAACGGAAAGGCCUCAGCUUGCUGGGGCACUCGAGUGGCGAACGGGUGAGUAACACGCGGGUGAUCUGCCUUGCACUCUGGGAUAAGCUUGGGAAACUGGGUCUAAUACCGGAUAUGAUCUGCCUUUCGGGUGGUUGCUGGAAAGUUUUUUGGGUGCAAGAUGAGCUCGCGGGCUAUCGGCUUGUUGUUGGGGUAAUGGCCUGCCAAGGCGUCGACGGGUAGCCGGACUGAGGAGGUGUACGGCGGUAUUGAGACCGAGGGACGGCCCAGACUGCGACGCGAGGGAAAAGUGGGGAAGCUUGAAGGAUGGGCGGAGGGCGGAUGCAGCAGCGCCGCGUGUGGGAUGACGGCGUUAGGGUUGUAAACUCAUUUCGACAGGGACGAAGCUUUUUGUGACGGUACCUGUAUAAAAAGCAACGGCUAACUACGUG